rnacentral:rRNA from 1 species
CCGACGGUGAGGGACGAAAGCUGGGGGAGCAAACCGGAUUAGAUACCCGGGUAGUCCCAGCUGUAAACGAUGCGCGUUAGGUGUGUCAGUGACCACGUGUCACUGAUGUGCCGAAGGGAAACCGUGAAACGCGCCGCCUGGGGAGUACGGUCGCAAGGCUGAAACUUAAGGGAAUUGGCGGGGGAGCACCACAACGGGUGGAGCCUGCGGUUUAAUCGGACUCAACGCCGGAAAUCUCACCGGAUAA